rnacentral:rRNA from 1 species
AAGGUGUAGGUUAACUAACCUCGCAUUAUUUGUACGUUACCUUACCACGAAGAAGACACCGGCGUAACUACCGUCGCCAGCAGCCGCGGUAAUACGGAGGGUGCGAGCGUUAAUCGGAAUUACUGGGCGUAAAGCGCAUGCAGGCGGCCUGUUAAGUCAGAUGUGAAAGCCCGGGGCUUAACCUCGGAAUUGCAUUUGAAACUGGCAGGCUAGAGUCUUGUAGAGGGGGGUAGGAAUUUCAGGUGUAGCGGUGAAAUGCGUAGAGAUCUGAAGGAAUACCAGUGGCGAAGGCGGCCCCCUGGACAAAGACUGACGCUCAGAUGCGAAAGCGUGGGGAGCAAACAGGAUUAGAUACCCUGGUAG